UCACUGAGGCUCGAGUCUUUCCUCCGCAGAUGAUCUUCCAGCGUCUGCCUGGUGAAGGUGUUUUCCUGCAGCUGGCUCCGGAAGUUGCGGAGGUUCUCCUCCACCGCGGCUCGCCGAGCUUCCGCCUCCGACGUGAGCUGCCUCACCCGCUCCAGCUCCCUCUCGGCCGCUUCCUUCUCCCUCACGAUCGUCUCCAGCUCACGGCGGUACUGCUUGGCCUCGCUCUCGGCCCUCAGCUUCUGCAGGGCGAUGUCUUCCACGUUCCUCUGUUGUUUCCUCAGUUCAUUUUCGGCGGCCUCCUUAACUUUCGGAAGCUCCUCCUCGACCCGGGAUUUCUGUUUCUUUAGCUCAGCCACCAUUGUUUCCAGUUCACUGAUCUUCCCGGGGAGUCCGGAUCUGCCGAAUCAACCUGUCUUCACAGCUCUCCAGGCGGAGCCGAAUGUUUCGCACUUCCGAGAUGUAAAGAUUAUACACAGAUUCCUCUUGCUCCUCUGUGGAAGGACACACUGUGUACCUCAAUCUGUCUGUAGUCGCAGAUGGCUUUGAUGGGGAUGGACGUCUUGAGUGGGUUGUCAGGAUUCCUCGGCUUCAGCUGCACCACUGUCUUCGCUCGCCCCAUCAGCCCUGCCACCACACUCCGGUACUGCAGGAGCUCCUCCUUUUCCUCCUAGGCAGCAAACACGGCAAGACUUGAAAAUUAAUGAUUCGAACUUCCCAUCCCACAGGGCCUCACACAAACCAUCAUCACUGAAGAAUGCCCUGACUACUGGGGACACCUUCCACAUCUCCCAUCCCUCUUGAAGCCCUCUUCCUUCCUUUUUUCUGGUUAUUUUGUUUCCGUUACUACUAUGUACCAGUCUAUGGUUAUUUUGCUUCCUUGUUGCUGUUACCACUAUGUACCAGUCUAUGGUGUUGUUUCCCUUGUGUUACUACUAUGUACCAGUCUACGGUUAUUUUGUUUCCUUGUUGCUGUUACUACUAUGUAACAGUCUACAAGCAUUUUGUUUAUUUAAUGUACGACAGUGUUGCUACCCUUUAAUAUCUAGGCACCACAAGACAGGGUGAUUCCUGCCUGCUUUGUCCAUUGUUAUAUCUCCAGAAAUGAAAACUGACCACACACAUCACUGCUAAAGCAGUUUAAACAUCAUCAAAAACUACCCAAACCAAAGUCUCAGUUGAAUGAGUCAGCUGUGUGUCUGAAGUACAAAUCUGUAUGUAACAUAGAACAUAGACACAUAGAACAAAACACUAAUCUACCCUGUUGUUUGUAUGACAAAGCCCAGAGUUUCUGCAUCCUUACCAUGGACUCCUGGACGAGGUCUUCCAGUUUGUGAAUGCUGCUGGACCUGUCACAGCUGUACUUGCGCUGGAUGGCAUCUUUCAGAUUCCUUAGGUAAUCAGUGGCUUCUUUGGCAUCAUUGAAAAACUAAAGAGAGAAAACUUGGCAGCUGUGGUACACUCAAUGCCAGUAAAGCGCAGAGCUGUCAAAUCUGGUGCCCAGGCCCUCUGUGCGCCGCUGACAAGCCAGGGCAGAACCAAAGCACAAAGCAACAACAGCAACAUCCUUUCUGAAGCUCAAGCUAAUCUUUAACUUGGGUGGCUACAGAUGAAUAUUAAUUAUGCAAAAUGUACAUGUAUAUUAUGCAUUAUGUUUUGGCUUUAUAUUAUUUUGAUCAAAAGUCUGUUUUCCUUUAGGGUUCAAUCAAUCUUUUAAGUAGGGGUGGAAUUUCAUACAAUAUAUUAAAAUUUCU
ensembl:processed_transcript Gm26788 predicted gene, 26788